rnacentral:rRNA from 1 species
UACGGAGGGUGCUGGCGUUGUUCGGAAUUACUGGGCGUAAAGGGCGCGUAGGCGGCCGUUUGCGUCGGAUGUGAAAGCCCGGGGCUCAACCUCGGAACGGCAUUCGAUACGGGACGGCUGGAGACCGGGAGAGGAGAGUGGAAUAGCCAGUGUAGAGGUGAAAUUCGUAGAUAUUGGCUGGAACACCGGUGGCGAAAGCGGCUCUCUGGCCCGGUUCUGACGCUGAGGCGCGAGAGCGUGGGGAGCAAACAGG